rnacentral:rRNA from 1 species
CCGCCUGUUUAUUAAAAACAUGGCCUAUUGUUUAUGAUUUUAGGUUUGACCUGCCCAAUGAAGGUAAUUUUAAUGGCCGCGGUAUUUUGACUGUGCAAAGGUAGCAUAAUCAUUAGUUUUUUAAUUGAAAGCUUGUAUGAAGGGUUUGAUGAAAAAAUUACUGUCUCUAUAUAAAUUAAUUAGAAAUUUAUUUUUAAGUAAAAAAGCUUAAAUAAUUUUAGAAGACGAGAAGACCCUAUAGAGUUUAAUAUUUAUAUUAGUAAGUGUAAUUAGGUAUUUAAGAUUUUAUUGAUAUAAUAUAUUUAGUUGGGGAGAUUAAAAAAUUAAAGAAACUUUUUUUUAUAUAAAACAUUUAUUUAUGAGAAUUUGAUCCUUUGUUUAAGAUUAAAAGAUAAAAUUACCUUAGGGAUAACAGCGUAAUUUUUUUUUAGAGUUCUAAUCAAAAAAAAAGUUUGCGACCUCGAUGUUGGAUUAAAAGAAAUUAUUGGUGUAGAAGCUAAUAAAUUAGGUCUGUUCGACCUUUGAAAUUUUACAUGAUCYGAGUUUAAACCGGKGKGRGCCAGGKYGGUUUCUAUCW